AGAGUUUGAUCCUGGCUCAGAAUGAACGUUGGCGGUGCGCCUAACACAUGCAAGUCGAGCGGAAGUAAUUCAGCGGCGGACGGGUGAGUAACGCGUGGGAAUCUACCCUUUAGUGAAGAAUACCUUCGAGAAAUCGAAGUUAAUACUGCAUAUGUCCCUUCGGGGAGAAAGAUGGCCUAUUUGCUGUCGCUAGAGGAUGA
rnacentral:rRNA from 1 species